rnacentral:rRNA from 1 species
GAUGAACGCUGGCGGCGUGCUUAACACAUGCAAGUCGAACGGAAAGGCCCAAGCUUGCUUGGGUACUCGAGUGGCGAACGGGUGAGUAACACGUGGGUGAUCUGCCCUGCACUUCGGGAUAAGCCUGGGAAACUGGGUCUCAUACCGGAUAGGACCACAUUUUGGGUGGUGUGGUGGAAAGUUUUUCGGUGUGGGAUGAGCUCGCGGCCUAUCAGCUUGUUGGUGGGGUAAUGGCCUACCAAGGGGUCGACGGGUAGCCGGCCUGAGAGGGUGUACGGCCACAUUGGGCCUGAGGGACGGCCCAGAAGCCUACGGGAGGCAGCAGUGGGGAGUAUUGCACAACGGGCGCAAGCCUGAUGCAGCGGCCCCGCGUUGGGAAUGACGUCUUUCGGGUUGUAAACUCCUGUCGCUGGGGACGAAGCGUUAUUUGACGGUACCUGGAGGAGAAGCACCGGCUAACUACGU